CUCACUCUCCGAUUGGAGGAUGAGCUGAAAAGAAGAGGAGAGGAGGAAGCUGUUUUCGAUUCGGAGAAGCCGCACUUCUCAUGCGGUCAAGUUCAGAAGACCUAAGCCUGUCUCAGAGUCUAAAGUAGUCUUCCUUCUGCCGCCCAUCCUGAACUUCUCCUACCCUCCUGUAUGCCUCCACUGAGCCAUUUCUGAAGGACUGCACCUCCCCACCCCCAUUUCGGGCUCAUCUUUGGGCUCAGCCAGUGGGAAGCAAAGAGACCAAAACAGUCACCUGGAAGGAGAAAAUGCUUGGAGAAUUUCUUCCCUCCUGCCCCACAUGCAGUGCCAAGUCUUCGGCUGUAGCAGGGCCCUUCUGCGAUGGUAACAGCAAUACACUCAGAUGCGGUGAGGAAGGGCGGCUGUGGAUCCUGAGGCAACAGUUUAUCAUCAUUAGCAGAGAGUGA
rnacentral:lncRNA from 1 species